UACGUAGGGAGCAAGCGUUGUCCGGAAUCAUUGGGCGUAAAGCGCGCGUAGGUGGCCACAUAAGUCCGUUGUGAAAGUCAAAGGCUCAACCUUUGAAAGCCGAUGGAUACUGUGUGGCUAGAGUACGGAAGAGGCGAGUGGAAUUCCUGGUGUAGCGGUGGAAUGCGCAGAUAUCAGGAGGAACACCAAUAGCGAAGGCAGCUCGCUGGGACGUUACUGACACUGAGGCGCGAAGGCGUGGGGAGCGAACGGG
rnacentral:rRNA from 1 species